rnacentral:lncRNA from 1 species
GGUAAAACGAGUGAACGACCCUGUGACAAGGGCUGCGUGCACCCGCAGGGGCGCACGGGACCCUCGCCAGCGGUGGGCACUGUACUAGACCCAAAGAUACGAAGAUACUGGAGCCAGGGUCCCAGUCCCCAGGUAGUGGCUCUCCACUCAGGCCCCAGCUGUGCAUCACAAUAACGACCCUUUAGCGAGCACCUGCUAUGGCGUCAGGCCUUACUCCAAAUGCCCCAAUGGGAUUAACUUGCCAAGUUUUCUCAACAACCCCAUAGGGUAAGUGCUACUGUGAUUUCCAUUUUACACAUGGAGAAACUGAGGCAUAGAGAGGCAGAAUGGCUUGCCGAAGCCACACUUGUGUUGGGGACCCAGGCGACUUGGCACCCAGACGCCCACUUCCUCCUCUCUGAGCCCCCCUCCCACUCCUCCGAAGCGCACCGGGGAGAGGCAUCCUUGCCUUUGCCGGCUGUUCGCGCUCUGCGCCCUGCUUUCUCACCCUCCCCAGCCUUGGCCGCUGCUCGGUGACCGCCGCCUGCUUUCUCCCCAGCAGCCGCGCCGCGGAUCGUCAAUAUCUCAGUGGUGCCCGGCCCGGCGCACGCCUUCCGCGCCCUCUGCACAGCCGAAGGGGAGCCUCCGCCCGCCCUCACCUGGUCCAGCGCGGCCUUGGGCAAUAUCUCGGCCGCCUUGCAGGGCCAGGUCACGGCUACCAGGUGACCGCCGAGCUGCCCGCGCUAAGCCGCGACGGGCGCUACACGUGCACGGCCGCCAACAACCUGGGCCGCGCGGAGGCCAGCGUGUACUUGUUCCGCUUCCACGGUACCAGCGGGGCCUCGGCGAUCGCGCUCCUGCUGGGCGCGCUGGGCCCCAAGGCGCUCCUGCUGCUCGGCGCUCUGGCUGCGGGUGCUGCCCGCCGCCGCCUGGAGCUCCCGGUCACCCAGGACACCCAUCCAUGGCCCCAUGCUCAGGAAUCCAGUUAUGAAAAUUUGGGCCAGAUGAACUCCAGGAGCCCACAGUCUGCUGCAUGUUCCCCCCUGAGGAGCUCCUCAGCCACCAGCAUCCACUUGUGUACCUGAGAAGCGAAGGCCAGGGUGAGGCUUGGCUGCUACAGCCUUUCCUGGUUCCCAGGCACCUUGGCAACCCCCAGCUGGGUCAUCAGCGGUCAGGAACCAGCUCAACAGAGUUUCUUCUGGCCUCCUCCUUGGACUUCUCACAGCCUCCAUGAUACUCAUGCUAGUGGGACCAGCAAUCUGAGUGUGUGUGUGUGUGUGUGUGUGUGCGUGCGCGCGUGGGCGCGUACCUCUAUUGGUCAGCUCUAUUACUGGGACAAAACACCCAACACCCACAACUGAGAGGAGGAGAGGUUUACUCGGCUCACAGUUUCCCAAGUUUCAGUCCAGAGGCAGCUGGCUUCAAGGGGAGAAACAUGGCAGAAGUGUGUGGUGGAGCAAAGCUGCUCACUUCAAGUAGAGUGGGGAAGAGCACCGGUGAGAGAUAUACCCUCCAAAGGCACCCCCCAGCAACUUGCCUUCAACUGGGCCCCAUCUCCUAACAGCACAUUCAGCUGAGAACAUCAAUAGGAGUCAGAUGAAUACAGUAUGCCCAUGAUCCAGUCACCUUUUCUGGAGUCUCAUAAUCCAACCAAGUUGACAACCUCAGCAGUCACAGUGCCCUUGUAUGCCUCCAUGUGAAACUCCUGGACAGCUUCCUCCAUCUUUUUCCCUCAGAACACUGUUGGAAAGCAAACCGGAAACUGAUCAUAGGGCCUGGAGGCCCAUCAGGCUCCAAACUGCUCUACCAGGUUUCUAUGUGGACUGGGAUAAUUUUUUCACCUCUUUGGGUCUCAGUUCAUCCACCAUUGAACAUGGACAGUAAUAUAAUCUUCUCCUUUCGCUGGUAGGUCUAUCAAGAUCCGAGGGAAUAAUAGAUGCGAUGAGGUUUUUGCAAUGUACAAGGCUGUCUCAGAUUUGGACCUUGUCAUACAGUUUUUGGAUAAGUUGGCAGUCACAUCAGGCUUGUGAGGAACAAAGUAUUCCAAAGAAGAUGCAGGCUGGGGGGGUGUGCAAACUGUGGUCUGAGGAGUAUCAAAUCCUGGAAACUUGGUAGCAGGGAGAGGCCUGGAGGCCCUGUUUCCUGCAAUAUUUACUGCAACUGUUCCACAUCUUCUGCCCACCUCUUACUGCCCCAGAUGCUCUACACCGUCUUGAGGUGGGACCCCCAGGAGAAGGGAGCCAAAGACCCAUUAUCUCAAAGCAUCUGGAAGCUACUGUCUCAAGGGCUGGAAGCCAGGAGACUUGAGGGGAGAUAUGGGACCCGUGAAUACAACAGCUAGAAUCUAUGGCCCACAUCCUCCCUGAUGUGUAGUCCAAAACCACUGGCACUCUUACCCCAUUUGCCCAAGUCCAGUGAGGCUAACUGUAUGGGGUACUGAACUCCCUUUUAGAUAGCAAUGUGAAUUUACUGGUCCUAUUAAGGGAGAAACAUGCUUGAGAACCAGGUGAACAGUGGACUAAAUUGGCCAUGAUGCCUUUCUGAGGAGAUGCUCUGAGGGUUGAGCGGUUCACUAGCCCCCCACACACACAGCCUUUGCCAGGGCAAGUGGGUGAUGGCAGCUCAUUACUGGGAUCCAGCCAGCAGCUUGCCUGAGCUGUUAAGAGUUCACAGAAGAUGACAUCUAUAGCCUCCUCACAAGGACAUUUGGGCACCUCCAGGGUGUCCUGUAUCACCAGGGAAGUAGUUGGGGAUACAAAAGUGUGUGUUAGAACAUCUGCUUGUUCUUUGAAGCCAGUUUCAUAACCCCCCCCAAAAAAAACUGUAAUGUGAAUUAUUGCUUAUGUAUCUGCUUCGUGCUAAGAACUGGACAAAGUAUUUGAGGCUACAAAAAUGAAGAAGUAACCUGUAUCAGCCAAGAUGGACUAGACUGUGCUUCCACAAACCCCAAAAGCAGCGGGUAAAAACAAUGAGUUUAUUUCUUGCCAAUGCUACAGGCCCAUUGCAGACUGGCAGAGAGAUUUUGCACCAUUGUUACUCAGAGACCCAGGUCCCAGAAUCCAUCAUCUUUUAUGGAUUGGGGGAAGAAUCCUCCAGAGGGAGCUGGGUGUGAAUCCCUGUUACUCAAGAGGCCAAGGCAGGAAGGAAGAUUCCAAGUUUGAGAACUUCCUGGAAAAUUGCCUGUCUCAAAAUAAAUAAUAGUAGAAAGGGCUGGUGGUGUAGCUCAGUGGUAGAGGGCCCUUGGGUUUGAUUCUCAGUAACAAACACCCACACCCACACUCAUACUCCUCCAGAGCCCCUCCCACAAGUGGUCUAGCUCAUUAGCCAGACCUAGCCAUGUGCCCUGCUCAGUCAGAAAAGACUGAGCAGGGCAACGCCACAUGGUAUUCAGAAAGGGAACACUAGGGACAUUUGGGAACAGUACUGGUGGCUCCACACUGGAGACCUUUCAGAAGCUCUCAAGUGAGUGAUAUGGUAAAUGGAAAAUCAUGUGUGGGUAGAGGUAUCUGGGGGUAACUUCCCGUCUUGGGGAGGCUUCCUGGAAGAAGAUUCAUGGAAAGUACAUGUCAGUUAUGUAAACAGAGAAGGCCAAGGGGAGAGUAGAGGUUGGGAGGUAAGAAAGGAAGGCAUUCUAAGCAAAGGGACAGACAGUCAGAUGCAGCAUAGCCAGAAGUUGCCAGAGCAGGAGGGUAGAGGUAGGGUGAGGCCAAAGCUGGAGCAGUAACAUACCCUAUGCUGGGUGCAGGGCGCUGCUGGCCUGCAUGUGCUACUUAGCAGUCUUCUUUCACACAUGCAACCACUGCCCUCUUCAGAGCCAGGAUGCUCUGGGCUGCGGCCAGGGCUCUUGGAGCAGUGUCUUGCAGUAAGUUCCAAGGGGCACCUGGUCAGGAACACUUGGGGAGCUUGUCCGAAUGCUCAUUCCGAGCACCACUUGGAUUCACUGAACCACAAGCUUGGAGAGGGAGGCUGGAAUUAUAAGCAAGUUCUUUAGGUGACUUUGCCUUCACUUUUACUGUGGUCAUUUUUAAACACACACUAAAAAAGAUGAAAAAGUAAGAUGAUUACCCAUGUGCCCAGCACUCUAUUCACCACUCAUUUCUCACUAUGUGCUGUGUGCGCGUGUGUGUGCGUGUGUGUGUGUAAAUCAUCUGUAAGCUCUGACACUGCAGUACUUCACUCUAAACACCUCCAAAGAACAAAAACGUUCUCCUCCAUACUAUCACCAUGCUUGGGAAAAUCAACAGUAAUUCAGCAAUACCACCUGCCUCAGUUACUUUUCUCAUUGCUGAGACAAAAUACCCAACACCCACAAGUUAAGGGAGGAAAGGUUUAUUCAGUUCACAGUUUGUAGAAGUUUCAGUCCAUGAUCAGCUGGCACCAAGGCAUGGUGGCAUGGCAGGGAGGCAUUGCAGAAGAGAAACAGUUCAUGGUGGGCAGAAGACAGAAGGCACCAAAUUACAAGCAACAACAGCUUCUUUGUGCCCCUUUUACAUUCUAACUAGGCUACUGGGCUUAGGGUUGGAAAAAUCAAUCAGUGGACUUAGUCAUCACAUACCCUUAAUCUUAGCAUCACACAUUCUAGUUCAGCCACCUGUGGAAAUGCCCCAUCUAGGAUUGCAUGAGACUUUGGGGAAACAUCUAGACACAAGCCAUAACACCACCUUACAGUCCACAUCCAAAUUUCUCCCAGUUGUCCUCCAAAUAUCCUCUUUAGCUUGUUGCUUCUAACCAGGAUCCUUUUGGAGUCUGGAUGGUUCUUGGGCAAGCAGAAAUUUGAGGCUCACUCCAUGACAGGCCUGACGUUUGUUUCAUGGUGCCUAAGUACAGGGGUACUGGCUAACGAUACGGCAGUCCUUCCUGCAGGAUUUGCUCUUAGCAGUUGGGCUACUUGGGAGCAGAAGCACCAUGCUCUCGAAGGCCUCUGAUGCAGCAGUUCAGGCAGUGAUGGGCUGUGGGAGUACGCUGAGGGACAGGUGUCCCUCCUUUAACAGUGUGCACCUUGUGCACAUGGAGCCUCCCGCUUGGCCUCCAGAUAAAGCAGCUGCUCCAAGGGGCAGGGGUGAGGGACGCUAAGGGGCAGCACUCAACCUGGGCUGUCCCUGUGAGAUAUCUGGGUGGAACACAGCCGCCUGCCCACCCCCAUCUGCCCUCUCGAAGCACUCAGAUUCUACUGCUGGCA